rnacentral:lncRNA from 1 species
CAUUGUUGAGCGCCAGCGAGGAAGCGCUUCCUCUGCAACCAUGUCUGACAAACCCGAUAUGGCUGAGAUUGAGAAAUUCGAUAAGUCGAAAUUGAAGAAGACAGAAACGCAAGAGAAAAAUCCGCUGCCUUCAAAAGAAACGAUUGAGCAGGAGAAGCAAGCAGGCGAAUCGUAAUGAGGCGUGCGCCGCCAAUAUGCACUGUACAUUCCACAAGCAUUGCCUUCUUAUUUUACUUCUUUUAGCUGUUUAACUUUGUAAGAUGCAAAGAGGUUGGAUCGAGUUUAAAUGACUGUGCUGCCCCCUUUUCACAUCAAAGAAUCGAGAACUACUGACAAACGAAGGCGCCUGCCUCUCCCAUCUGCCUGUCUGGCUGGCAGCGAAGGAAAAGAACUUGCAUGUUGGUGAAGGAAGAAGCUGGGUGGGACGACAGUGAAAUCUAGAGUAAAAACCAAGCUGGUCCAAGGUGUCCUGCAGGCUGUAAAAUGCAGUUUAAUCAGAAAGUUACUCCACGUUCUAAGGAUCAGUAUGGAAAACCGGAGCUGUGGGUGAGUGGAGACAAAGGGGCACAGAACGGAAGGAACCUCAAAGGUUUGGAAUCGCUUAUGUGCUUGCUGUGAUCACAGAGAUCAGUAACAUGGGUGGUCACAGAAGAAAGCAAUUGUGUGGGUACGGUAAUUUGAAAUGUCCUCAAGGUGAGUGAAAAAUAACAUUGGGGAAAAUAAGUAUAUAUGCUAUUAUAAGCAGUUGGCGAGGCCGGUCCUGAAAAUUAAAAAGGAAAUAAUAAAGCUAAAAGAAUAGAAAAUGGAUGAUUUAAA